rnacentral:rRNA from 1 species
UACUUGACACUCGAGGUUCUGCUGUGGAAGUCUUUCCAGUGCUUGUGGCCUCGCGGUGGUAGUGGAGUAGACUCCUAGUCCCAAACCUCGUGCUGAUCGUUACUCUCGGUACUGCUGCGGAAGUUCUUCCCCUGUUUGAAGCAACGGCGUUCAGAUGGGUUUCUGUCUUGUACAAAAGUGGGGCCGGUUGUGAGUAACAGUGGCCGUAUACCAUGUCUGCGGUAUCCCCUCGAGUAGCGCUCUCCACGGAUACCACGAGUGGUGCAGGGCUCUGUCCCAGCGGUGCGGUGUCCUGCACCGGUGACACCACGAGGGGUGCGGGUACCGGUACGCGUGUACCCCGAGCUAGGAGCCUACCACCAACCGGGCUCGCGGGGCUAUUACUUGCCCCGGCGGCAACACGGACCUAGCGGGGGGCCUAGAGGCGGAGGUGGAGGAGGAGGUGGUGCCCGGCCGGGCCGUGCCGUGCCGUGCUGGACACGAUUAGCACGGACCGGGCCGUGCCGGGCGGCACCGUGCAAAUUAUCGGCCCGGCACGGCACGGCCGGGUGCCCGCGUCGAGCAACCGGGUUCGUGCCGGACUAAUGGCGGUGUUGACGGGUGAGGUCUAAGGCCGCUAAGGCCGCCGAUAGCGGCCGCGCCACGUGUGGCGGCUCGAGCGGAGCGAGCCGAGGUAGGAGGGGAGGCCGUUCUAAGAGGGAAGGGCCGGAGAUGCCGAGCGGUUAUUGGGUGUGGGCACGAUCCCAAAGCCGGAGAUCGUAGCAGGAGGAGCAGCCGCGUAGAGGCCGCUGAGAAGAGGAAACGGAUGUCGCGGGGGUGCGCGCGGGAGCGAAGGACUACCGGGUGGAGGUCGUCCCGCCGCGCCUCCUGGAGGAGGGCGUCCUAGGUGCCUGCGCCGCGUGGAACGCCUGCGACCAGGGCCUGCUCCCGCCCGUGCCACCGGAACAGGAUGAGCUGCUGCCACCCCCGCUUGCGGCCACGAGGAGGAGGAGCUGGAGGUUCCCCCUCGUGGCACCGCAUGUACUACACGAGGAGCUACGCCGACAAGGGUUGCUUGAGAGAAGCGGCCUCCUCCGCCUCGUCGUUCAGGUCGUGGGAGAACGGGGGGAUAGGACAUCGCGUACCUGCUGGAGUGGCAGCCGACGUAAGAUGGGAGGAUCGUGCAAAUCUCGUUAUCGAGGUCUCAACUUCUACUAGAAAUCGGACUAAAAAUUAGGAGUGUAACGGAGGAUGUCGUACCUUUUAGGGUAGAUGCGUCAGUAGGUCAAACGUGUGUGCCGGUACUCUACAACGUGUAAAGACUUGAACGACUUAUUUAGUUUUCUACAAUGAGGAGAUGGACGACUUAGAUUUAGCUUUCUAAGUUCUCUUAAUACCACGAUGAAAACCGUUGCACGGCGGCACGAGUUGGAGCGGGCCGGUAGCAUACCGGAGAACACAACAGAAGUCAGAAGUAACUAGAGCUAGGCGGCGGCGGGUGGUAGCUGCUGGGAGUGGUAUCUGCUCUAGCUCGAGGAGGGAAGGAGGGCAAGAGGGGAUCGGAAUAGGUGAAGCUCGGUUGGUUGGUGAGGCAGGAACCCUAAAACAGCGCGCCACGGAGCAGAGCGGCCGGGCCGCUGGUGUUCGUCCGUCAGGUGCCGGUCCUACCGUCGCACGGGGCGGUGCUGGUGCCGAGCGCACCCUCGUCGCGUACUACCUCCGGAGACCUCCUCUUCGCCCUCCUCGGACUGGCAGGAGCGCGCGGGUCGGGUACCGUCCUCGUGGUGCCGCGCGCGGAGCCUCGAUGUUGUAGAGGAAGCCGCUGAAGCACAUUAGGUCAAGCCGUUGCGCACGACCCUUGAAAUGACGGAGCUCGUGUCGUAGGACGUCCCUCGUAUGCUAGUUGUCCUCCUCCUAAAGGUGCCGCGCACGUUCGCCGAAGUCGAAGUACGGAACCUAGGUUACGACAGGGGAGGUUCAGUUCAGUGCAGCUCCGCCGGCUAGUUCCGGACGCACGUUAACUACCCCGAGGUACUUUUACCUCCACCACUAGUCCACUUGUUGUAUUCGGACCUUCUGGAGACCGGGUCGAGUUGAGGUAGAGGUACGUGGAGCCGCUCUAGCAGCCAUUACCUGCGGCGGACGGAGCAUAGUAAGAAAGAUCUAUUGUAAGAUCACACCGUUGUAAAUCAUUAAAUGUCGAGGGACAAGUACCACGAUACGUUUGAGACU